rnacentral:lncRNA from 1 species
AUAUAGCCUGUCUUGUGGGUUGGGACGCCCAGAGCCUUCUGUGCUUUGCUUAAGAACAGUAGAUGAUGCUCACGAAGCCUCUGAAUCCCGCGUGCUUCCCAUGAGAAGGGCGCUGUUCCAUAGUGACAACAGUGGAUAUCAGCGCCAUGAAGGGUCCUUCCCGAGAGACUCCUGAAACACUCAUUUCGCAGCGAAGAUGCCUGCCAGCAAGACCGACUGGAAAAAGAAUUUUCUCUCCCAUUGACUUGGAUCAUAAAAUCAGAGCCUCUCUGAAGUGUCUGACCCGUGCGUUUGGCAGUCUCCUGUGGACAUCGGCUGGGGCAGAGUUUGCAGACAGACAGAAGCCGCAUUCUCGUGGGAAGAGAAAAGAAACCACGUGGAAAAGUUUAUUCAGCCAACUCAUGAAUUAAUGCGGGGACCAGUAAGAUGUUCCAACUGGUCCAAAGACCGCGUGAGAAGCAG